CAGCAUCACAUCGGUUGCUGUGGAGACGACUGUGAUGUUGCCAAUAGAGAUAUGACUUCACUAACAACCUCUGAAGAAGGACAGAAACAUGAAGACACAGUGUGGCUUUAUUUUCCUCCUGCUGCCCAUUCCUAAUAACCCUGUUCUGCCAUUCCCUGCGCUCUGUGCUGCAUCCUGACCUUCAACCGAUGCACAAAUCUCUCUUCUUUCUUAAACUGGGCUGCAUGGCCACGUAUCAACAGCCUUUGGGCUGUAUUUCUGCAGGAAGGAUCGACCAAAAGCUCUGUUUUUACAUCACCAGUGCUACGAACCAUGGCUGCUUCCCUGCAAAGUUUGCAAUAAUGUGAAAACAGAAAUAAGCAAGCCCUGUGUGUUAACCCUCCUCCGCACAAUGAAACUCUGUACAGUGAAUUGGCUAAGUGGGUCCUUAUUCAGGAUCAUUCAUCACCAUGGCACGGCCUCAUGCAUACAUGGCAGAUUUACAUCAUUGAAACUGAGGAAUAAAAACAAAAGGCCCAUGAUCUGAAGGAAGGGCUGUCAUUAUUUAUGAAGCGCCAGUAAUGUGCUGAGGGUGAGAUGAAGAUCUGAUCAGCCUGGCCUCUCGGCUCGCCCUGCAAGGGUGCUGGUGGCAGAGUGACACACAGCUGGUGGCUGCAGCAAGGACAAACAUGCUCAGCAACUCAGGGCUUCUUAAAGGCGUUUUGAACACUAGACGCUCCGCUUCAAAAAAUGGGGCACGUGUAUGGGAAGUAAGUCUAAUGGUGAGUACAGACAACAAAAUGAGUUAAAGGAAAUAGUGUUACUGUUGCACUUCCUUGUUUGAAACCUCAGCACCUUAACGAGGCCAGGGAGCCCCAGUGAUAGUUCCAAAUCCCUGUGUUUCUUCACCUGCUUUUGAUCUCAUUGUAGCAAUGUUCAUUUUGUCCAAGUAAAAUAAAUGUCCUCGCAAAUGUCUGAGAGGAAGUGAAGAAUGGAAAACAUGCUCGUUGGAGUCAGCAAUUUGCCCC